CCUACGGGAGGCUGCAGUGAGGAAUAUUGGUCAAUGGGCGCGAGCCUGACCCAGCCAAGUCGCGUGAAGGAUGACUGCCCUCCGGGUUGUAAACUUCUUUUAUAAAGGAAUAAAGUGAGGCACGUGUGCCUUUUUGUAUGUACUUGAUGAAUAAGGAUCGGCUAACUCCGUGCCAGCAGCCGCGGUAAUACGGAGGAUCCGAGCGUUAUCCGGAUUUAGUGGGUUUAAAGGUAAAGUAGAUGGGUUGUUAAGUCAGUGGGGAAAGUGUGGGGCUCAAACGUAAGAGUGCAAUGGAUACUGGCAGUCUUGAGUACAGUUGAGGUAGGCGGAAUUCGAGGUGUAGCGGUGAAAUGCUUAGAUAUCACGAAGAACUCCGAUUGCGAAGGCAGCUUACUAACCUGCCACUGACAUUGAUGCUCGAAAGUGUGGGUAUCAAACAGGAUUAGAUACCCGAGUAGUC
rnacentral:rRNA from 1 species